rnacentral:rRNA from 1 species
AGUGAACGCUGGCGGUAGGCCUAACACAUGCAAGUCGAACGGCAGCACAGUAAGAGCUUGCUCUUACGGGUGGCGAGUGGCGGACGGGUGAGGAAUACAUCGGAAUCUACUUUUUCGUGGGGGAUAACGUAGGGAAACUUACGCUAAUACCGCAUACGACCUACGGGUGAAAGCAGGGGAUCUUCGGACCUUGCGCGAUUGAAUGAGCCGAUGUCGGAUUAGCUAGUUGGCGGGGUAAAGGCCCACCAAGGCGACGAUCCGUAGCUGGUCUGAGAGGAUGAUCAGCCACACUGGAACUGAGACACGGUCCAGGCUCCUACGGGAGGCAGCAGUGGGGAAUAUUGGACAAUGGGCGCAAGCCUGAUCCAGUCAUACCGUGUGGGUGAAGAAGGCCUUCGGGUUGUAAAGCCCUUUUGUUGGGAAAGAAAAGCAGCAGGUUAAUACCCCGCUGUUCUGACGGUACCCAAAGAAUAAGCACCGGCUAACUUCGUG